UCGGACUGCCCCGGUCCCCGCUGGAGGUAGAGAUAUGGCGACCGGCGCCCGCGCCCCGGCCGGACCCUCCCCGCUGAUGGCGCCGCCGCUGCUGCUGCUGCUGCUGCUGCUGGCGCCGAGGGCGGCCGCAGAGAGCGACCCGCUGGCGGUCGACAGGCAGGAGUUUCAGACUCAACAAGAGGAACACCGCAGUCAUAUGAAGUUCGAGCGAGGAAGUGGUGUACGGAGUACAACCAGCGCACCUGAGGCCCGGAGCG